rnacentral:rRNA from 1 species
UAAGUCCCGCAACGAGCGCAACCCUUGAUUUAGUUGCCAGCAUUCAGUUGGGCACUUAAGGUGACUGCCGGUGACAAACCGGAGGAAGGUGGGGAUGACGUCAAAUCAUCAUGCCCCUUAUGACCUGGGCUACACACGUGCUACAAUGGACAGAACAAAGGGCAGCGAAACCGCGAGGUUAAGCCAAUCCCACAAAUCUGUUCUCAGUUCGGAUCGCAGUCUGCAACUCGACUGCGUGAAGCUGGAAUCGCUAGUAAUCGCGGAUCAGCAUGCCGCGGUGAAUACGUUCCCGGGCCUUGUACACACCGCCCGUCACACCACGAGAGUUUGUAACACCCGAAGUCGGUGAGGUAACCUUUUAGGAGCCAGCCGCCGAAGGUGGGACAGAUGAUUGGGGUGAAGUCGUAACAAGGUAGCCGU